rnacentral:rRNA from 1 species
GACGAACGCUGGCGGCGUGCUUAACACAUGCAAGUCGAACGGUGAAGCGCCUUCCUUUUUGGUGGGUGUGGAUGAGUGGCGAACGGGUGAGUAACACGUGAGUAACCUGCCCCCUUCUUCUGGAUAACCGCAUGAAAGGGUGGCUAAUACGGGAUAUUCUGGGUCUGUCGCAUGAUGGGUCUGGGAAAGAUAUUGUUUCGGUGGGGGAUGGGCUCGCGGCCUAGCAGCUUGUUGGUGGGGUGAUGGCCUACCAAGGCGGUGACGGGUAGCCGGCCUGAGAGGGUGGACGGUCACACUGGGACUGAGACACGGCCCAGACUCCUACGGGAGGCAGCAGUGGGGAAUAUUGCACAAUGGGCGCAAGCCUGAUGCAGCGACGCCGCGUGAGGGAUGGAGGCCUUCGGGUUGUGAACCUCUUUCGCCAGUGAAGCAGGCCUGCCUCGUUUGUGGGUGGGUUGACGGUAGCUGGAUAAGAAGCGCCGGCUAACUACGUG